rnacentral:ncRNA from 1 species
UCACCAUCCAGAGCGACCAAGAGACCUGGCUCGUCGACGUCGCAGCAACCCCCUUCCUCACGGAAGGUGUGGGUGCUACCGCCAGGACCGAUGGAGG